rnacentral:rRNA from 1 species
UACGUAGGAUGCAAGCGUUGUUCGGAAUUACUGGGCGUAAAGAGUACGUAGGCGGUUUGAUAAGUCUGCUAUUAAAGACUGGAGCUUAACUCCAGGACUGUAGUGGAAACUGUCAGACUAGAGGACAAUAGAGGAAGUCGGAAUUCUCAGUGUAGCGGUGAAAUGCGUAGAUAUUGGGAGGAACACCAGUGGCGAAGGCGGCUCACUGGACCGGUACUGACGCUGAUGCGCGAAAGCGUGGGGAGCAAACGGG